rnacentral:rRNA from 1 species
GUCUACAUCCAUGCCACCCUGAACGUGCCCGAUCUCGUCAGAUCUCUGAAGCUAAGCAGGGUCGGGCCUGGUUAGUACUUGUAAGGGAGACCACUUAGGAAUACCAGGUGCUGUAGGUG